rnacentral:lncRNA from 1 species
AUGGGCCAGGGCGCAGGCGGGGCACAGCACCUCUCAGGGUACCCCCCUACUUCCCCCACCCCCCCGGGGAUGCACCUGCCGCAGGGGGCCUGGGCCGCACCCAGGAGCCACGUACCUUCCCACACGGGAGGCGGCGGAGCAGCACCGCCCUCGGGCCGGGGCGCAGGCGGGGCACAGCACCUCUCAGGGUACCCCCCUACUUCCCCCACCCCCCCCGGGGAUGCACCUGCCGCGGGGGGCCCGGGCCGCACCCAGGAGCCACGUACCUUCCCACACGGGAGGCGGCGGAGCAGCACCGCCCUCGGGCCGGGGCGCAGGCGGGGCACAGCACCUCUCAGGGUACCCCCCUACUUCCCCCACCCCCCCCGGGGAUGCACCUGCCGCGGGGGGCCCGGGCCGCACCCAGGAGCCACGUACCUUCCCACACGGGAGGCGGCGGAGCAGCACCGCCCUCGGGCCGGGGCGCAGGCGGGGCACAGCACCUCUCGCCCCCACCCACCCCCCAGGAUGCACCUGCCGCAGGGCCUAGUACCUUCCCGCGUGGGCCGGGGCGCAGGCGGGGCACGGGCACCUCCCGGGGCGCCCCCCCCUCCCGGGGGAUGCACCUGCCGCGGGCCCGGGCCGCACCCAGGAGCCUCGUACCUUCCUGCGCUGGAGGCGGCGGAGCAGCGCCGCCCUGGGUCCGGGGCGCAGGCGGGGCGGGGGGCAGCUCCCGGGGCUCCGGGCCCCCCUUGCCCCGGGGACAGGCCGGCCGGCGCCCCGGGGCCCCCGCGGAGGGCGAGUCGGGCCCCGGGCGCUGCGCGGGCGGCGGCUGCACCCAGGCGGCCCUGUGCCUCCGCAGCCUGGCGUCGGGCGCGCAGCGGGGCCGCUCGAGGUGCGGGGAGCUGCGCGGGCCGCCCGGGUCGCCGGGGCCCCUGCCGGCCCUCCCGCGGGCCUCCCCGGGGGCCUCGGGCCCGCCCGCCGACUGGGACACCAUCUCCCGGGCUCGGGGCUGCAGGUGUCAGCGGCCGCGGGGCUAGCGGACUCGGGCCUCGAACUCGCCACGCGGCCGGCGGGCCGGGGCCGGGCAGCAGCGAACCUGCGAGGGGCAACAAACAAGAAAUGGUUGGACACGCAGAGGACGGCAGUCAUUGCUUCACUCCAAAUCGUGGGAGGAAAAGAAACAAAAAACACACAGGUUUGUACUUGAGCCUGCACAACACAGUGAAUUCCCCUUGGACUUCCAAGACUAGGUAA